UAGUCUGAAAGAGCUGGACCUGAGUAACAAUGACCUGCGGGAUUCAGGAGUGAAGCUUCUGUCUGCUGUACUGCAGAGUCCACAUUGUACACUGGAAACUCUCAGAUUGUGGGACUGUGGUUUGUCAGAGAUCAGCUGUGAUUAUCUGGCAGCAGCUCUGAAGUCCAACCCCUCGUAUCCCAGAGUGCUGGACCUGAGUGGAACCUACAACAACCUGCAGGAUUCAGGAGUGAAGCAGCUGUGUGUUCUUCUGGAGAAUCCACGAUGUCGAUUUGAAACUCUGAGACUGAGUCACUGUGACCUGUCAGAGAGAAGCUGUGAA